UGCAGUUAAUACUGAUGAGCAGGAGCUCAAGCUGCAGUUUUAUGUCAGAAAGGCAGCAGCCCCCCCAAAAAGAGGUUUGCAAAUUGGCCUUUCAACUGGCUAGUUUUUAUGGAUUGCCUGAUCCUUGCAAAUGGCUCGAAAAUGGCAUGGGCCGUGAAAGUUGGUUCACCAAUUUCAUGAGAACGAAUGCACAACUUUCUAUGAGAAAGCCUCAGGCAACAAGCUUAUCGAGCGCUACAAAUUUUAAUCAGAGGUGGUCCAGAGGGAUCAAUUGGCGCAGCCAACAGACAGACAUUGAACAGUGAGGUGGGCAAGUGGGAUGGUGAAAUGAUGAGCAAUAUCUGGCUGCCGGCAGCGAUUUCGCUGCACUGGCUGUACAACCAAGUAAUCUUCAGUGAAGGCAGCUUUCUCCCAGCUUCAGCGACUGACAGACCCCGUCCUGCUGCAUCUCCAUCUCGCCCCAGGCCAUCCACUGCUGCAUCUCCCCCCGAACCAGUCACUACUGCUCUGUAUCCAGUAGCCAGUCCCUGGCUCUUCCUGUGCCAACAGUUCUCUUCCUGUGCCAUUAACUCAGGGAGUUUGAGGCGGUUACCCUCACUUUAGUUACUCAAUCACUACAAGAGGAGGAAGUCACCACUGAACAGGAGCAUGUCCCAGAAUUCUCUCCCAAACGCUAAGGAUAUACCCCAAAGCUAGUCCCUGGAAGGACAAUGUACAAUGGUGGAGACACCUGUAAAGGCAGCCCUUGAAGAGGAGAGAGGGAGGUGAAAUGGAAACUCUUACCAGAACAAAAGGAGGGAGGAAAAAAGCAAAACAAGAAAAGUGCCUUUUCUGUGAUGAAUGGUAUUCAAGCUCCCGGCCAUGGAAGCAAUGGAUAUUUUUCCAUCUGGGGUCACUUGUAGAAUGCACCGCUGGAGGCCACAACUACAUUUGUUACCACUGUGAGUGACUGAGGUGACUGACAGAGUGAGUAACUGACUGAAUGACCUUUAUUUGUUUUGUUUUUAUGGUUUAUUAGGCUAUUGUUAUUGUUUGUAUUAGUUGUGUAGUUGUUGCCUCCAUCUGUGUUGUUACUGUUUACAACUGCU